UGCAGUCGACGCUUCUUUUCCACCGGAGCUUGCUCCACCGGGAAAAGAGGAGUGCGCGAAUCGGGUGAGUAACACGUGGGUAACCUGCCCAUCAGAAGGGGAUAACACUUGGAAACAGGUGCUAAUACCGUAUAACAAUCGAAACCGCAUGGUUUCGUUUUGAAAGGCGCUUUACGGUGCCGCUGAUGGAUGGACCCGCGGUGCAUUAGCUAGUUGGUGAGGUAACGGCUCACCAAGGCCACGAUGCAUAGCCGACCUGAGAGGGUGAUCGGCCACAUUGGGACUGAGACACGGCCCAAACUCCUACGGGAGGCAGCAGUAGGGAAUCUUCGGCAAUGGACGAAAGUCUGACCGAGCAACGCCGCGUGAGUGAAGAAGGUUUUCGGAUCGUAAAACUCUGUUGUUAGAGAAGAACAAGGGUGAGAGUAACUGUUCACCCCUUGACGGUAUCUAACCAGAAAGCCACGGCUAACUACGUGCCAGCAGCCGCGGUAAUACGUAGGUGGCAAGCGUUGUCCGGAUUUAUUGGGCGUAAAGCGAGCGCAGGCGGUUUCUUAAGUCUGAUGUGAAAGCCCCCGGCUCAACCGGGGAGGGUCAUUGGAAACUGGGAGACUUGAGUGCAGAAGAGGAGAGUGGAAUUCCAUGUGUAGCGGUGAAAUGCGUAGAUAUAUGGAGGAACACCAGUGGCGAAGGCGGCUCUCUGGUCUGUAACUGACGCUGAGGCUCG
rnacentral:rRNA from 1 species